UUAUUUCAUAAUACACGCGGUAUUUUAUGCUCCUGAAUGAUAUGGACCGCUUGGAUGUGUGUGGAAGCGAUCGCUAUAUUUAUUUAGUUUUUUGAAUCCCGCGCCAGGAAAAUGAGUGACUUCCGGCUUCGGUCUCGCAUUGAGGAGGAGGGCGCUGUGACGUGUACGGUAGAAGACGUCCUCGUCACGCUACAGUGUACUGUUGUGUAUGAGGACGAAGGAUUCAGUUGAUUUUGCGGAUUAAUACUUUUAUUUUUUGCAUCACGCCAGCCAAACGGCUGCAGAAAAAUCAUUCUGUAUGCGGGAGAGGCGUAUGCGCCUUUUUGGAGUUUCAAAAGGUUCCCAUUCACCGUGGAUAUUUACUGUGGGACCAUUGGACUUACAAGGAACGGUUGAUCUCAGCAGCUGGAUGGAUACUGGCUGUGGUGUAGGAAGACAUCAGAUGUGAAAGAAGACAUGUAGCUCCUUCUCCACCGUUGUGGUACUGAGUCCGUGAGCUCCACCUGGAAAGCAAGGCCACAAUGUCAAAAUCAUGAGAAAGCUCGCAAUAAAAGCAAAACUGGAAAAAG